GGGCCCUGUAUUGUGCUGCGACAAAGCUACUGAGCCAAUGCCAAGGAUUCUUGAGGGUAAAAGCUAUUGAAGGAUGUCGAGCCAAAAUCACUGUCAUUUGUUUGUCAGUGGGUGAAAAAAUGUGUCUUUUUAAAACAGUCAUUCUCUGUAUUAAUUGUGAGAUUUCCCCUUUUCCCUUCCUCCUAUUUUGAUUAAACAAAUGUGGGUAUUGGGAAGAAGUUGUCUAACC
rnacentral:misc_RNA from 1 species